AUGGUGGAUGAACCGUCCGCCAAGCGUCAUCAUGCAGAGACGUCGGACAAGAGGAGCAACCUCGUCGACAUUAACAUCCCCGGCGAGAAGCGCGACUACACCAGAACGCUCAAAGGGGUUGAGCUCCACGGCAAGGAGACGCUGGAGAUCGUUUGCACUAGCGAACCCGACAAGGCCGACGAGAUGAUGAGCAGGCUCAGGAGGAAGGGCGGCGGCUUGUAUCCGAGCUUCAUCGGAGUUGAUGUGGAGCCCAAGCGCCUCAAAGAGUUCCUGCAGGAGGAGAAAUUGUACACAUUUGUUGGUUUCAGCAUUGGAGGUGACAAGCGGAUGCUGGAGAAGUGUGGUUUGGAAAUCAACCCCAACAACUUCAUCGACAUGUAG
rnacentral:rRNA from 1 species